UCCGAACCAUCGCUUUAAUGAAAUGUUUGAUUGACUACAGAAAGAUAAUGAUAAUUACCUUUUAUUUGAAACAAGGUCAGAAAUAAAGGGUCCUAUCUGAAACUGGCCAAGGAAUAGUGUCCAGACCAUUUCAUGGGACAGGAGAUUUUCCUGCAUGUCCAGUGCGCUAUCUUGGUGCUCCGCACUCCACUGACAUGCGUUCCUCCUGCUCCGCGCUCCUCCUGCUACAUGGUUGUCCAGUCCUAUGACAUGAUAGCCUUUUUGCCACCUAAAUGGAUGCUAAAUGUAUUGGCCAUGUGUACUGUACAGUCAUUCAUGGAUGGUGCAGACACACUUGUUAGGGUACCAAUUCCUCCAAAUCGCGUGUGGAAAGUCAGCCAUCAGCCAAAAAUAAACGAUAAAUGAAUAAAAAAAAAACAAAAAAACAAAUGUGGAUUGCAUGUAUUUGCACAGUUAGGCACCAUGGAAAACCUUCUCGGGGGCCUCACUCAUAGCCUACCUCGUCCGUGUGCCCACCUGCGACCAAGAGUGUCAUAAUACCGCUGGUCCCUUUGAUCUCACCACUGAAGUUUGCAUAAAUUCCAAUAUAGGCGGCAGAUUAUUGCAUAAUUAUUCAAACAUCUCGUCAAAUCACAAGUUAGGCUAUAGUUGUUGAUCUAUGUGAAAUUAACACAGCACUCCCUGCGAGGCUGCACCAGUUCAAAUAGGGAAAGCAGUCGGAUAAUAGCCAAAGUUUAAUAAGUCAAAAUGUUUUGUAAUUAUCUAGGUCGUCUAUUUACGAUAAUUAUUUGUUGCGCAACAACUGCUGCUCAAGUUGGCGAUCAUAGUCAUCUCAAGUCCAACUUGAAAACUGCGUACAUCGUCUGAGAUCUGCCAUACCGAUUUCAUCUUUCCUGCGCUUACGAUGAGAAAUGCCCAUCUGUCGUAGAAAAGAACGUACGCAUCACGUAAGCAUGUUUUUCAUCGUAUGCUAGCUUGAUAAAUGAGGGCCAGUAUGUUACCCAGUAUGUUCACAGAGGUUGAUGCACACUGAUUAUUUCAUCCUCAGGCUGUUAAUCCUGGAAUGUUAUUGAAGCGUAAAGAGAUCCUACACACUGUCCUUUCCACCAACAAACUUAAAUACAACAUUUUUGUCAUCUGACCUUCUUCAGGGAAAGUUACAAGCACAACUAAACGCAAAAAAGUUUGGUUGACUAGCUUGGACCAAUCAGGUCCUGGAAGGUUCGCUUUGCUCUGCUGGCUCACCCUGCGGAUAUUGGGAACCCACCUCUGUGUGCACAUAAUUUUGCCAAAAGCAACCACAUUCUCUUCCCAUUUAAACAUGUUUCCCCAGAAAAUAUGUGUCUUAGGUCUUUGCUGGACUCUGCAAAAGAAUGCUCUUCUGACAGUCCCCUUUUUUAAAAUAACUCAUUGUCAAGUUUCCCCAAAUCCAGCCUUUUUCCUCUUUUGGAGCCCAGCCACCUUAGCCUUAACCAAAGUUGGUAACCAGUCAACACUGAUUGAAGAUUACGUUCCUCGCACAAGUGGGCGCUUCUAAUUAGCUUUUAUGCACCCCCACCCUAAGCUGCUUCAUUGUUUCAGGAAGUGGCUUGUAAUGAUGAACGUAAUUCAAUGCAAUUAAAACACGUUUUGACAGACUAAUUUGAGUUGGAAUGUCUCCAUCUUUUACCAUAUUAGAUAUGUGGUAGACAAAGCAGGGAAAUGAUGGAGGAUUAAGCUGUUUCAAAAUGGUGUAAGGCUUAAAAUUAAUUGAAGUAGCUGCCAAAAGAAAUCUAGGUUUCCAACCAAUGUCCACCAUUGAAUUAAUUAAGAUUCUAGUAAAUUGAACACUUUUUCAAUGUUAGCGUAAUAUAUGGGGAAGUGAUGAAAGUAUCAGCAUUUCUGUGCAUUCAUGGGUAGGAUCUUAGCCUCUUCCAGUUGAUUCUAUGUAUCUGUUCAUGAAGGAGAGUAACCUUCAUAAUCCUUCACUAUCUCUGUGUUAAGAUGAGUUCUAUUACUUCCACUGUUGUCAUGACAGUCUGGAGAUUAACUGUUUUCCUACAAAACUGAAGGUAGAAAUAAAGUACUUGGUUGUAGUAUUUCAAAAUGUGCAGCAAAGAUUUCCUGCACAAAAAUUACAUCCCAUAUAUCUGAUGAAUAAUAAUAACUUAGGGAAAGCCAAGGGAUAGUCUUCUUAACUGUCUCCUGUGCAUUUUGGCUGCUUCGGUAGUAUCACCCACCCUGUGCCUUCCUGUUUUUUAUUAUGAAAUUUGCAUGUUGCUCUGUAUGCAGGGAUAACAAGCACUAGGAGCAUAAGGAGUUCACAAUAAGCAUUUUAUAUUCUUUUAAUAUAAAUUGUUAAUUGCAUAUGCAAUAUCCUUUCAAAACCAACACAGUGUUGUUAUAAUGUUCUCUCAAGAUGCAUUCUGUUGCAUUUUGUUUUUAAUACUUGGGAUGAAAGUUGAUCUGCUUUGGCAGAAACCUAAUUGGGACAUGAUGAGAUGCAUGAAUCCAGGCAAUAAAAUAUUGUCAUCUGAUCUGAUCUGCGAUCUGUGUACUUAUUUGGAAGAAAUACAAAAAUAGUUCUUGAGUAAGGCCUGAAGUCAAAGUGUCUUGUAAAUUAUUGUGGAUUUUUUCCACAUAGCUUUUCCACAUAGAUGACUAAGGAAAAUUACACUAAAACCAACAUUUGCACUUGGGAGUCCUUUCAUCCUGUACUGUAAAAGUUGGUCUUAGAUCUCUGAUUCUGCAGAACAACCAAUGUGGGGAUAUUUAUCAUCAAAUGCAGGUUUUUCUUUGUGUUUGAAUUUGUAUCUUUAUUUUAGUGGAGAGCUUAGUUGUGCAAUCAUGUUGUAGCCUAUUUUAAGACAAAUUGAUGACUUGGCUCACUUAUGGUGUGUAAGGACAUUAAGUGCCUUGGUCAUAUAAUUUCAGAUGAUCUCUGAUGGUCAUGAUCUAUGCUGUCAACAACGUGAACUAUGCAUGCCCAGGCCAACAUUUUACUUUGUAAAUUUAGCAUGUGCUCUUUUAAUGUCAAAUGCUCUCCGUUUAAAGCCUUCUGUAAACCCACCACAAAUACUUCCCACUUGUGGUGUAAGUAUGAGUCAAGCAGCUACAGUACCAGAAGCUGACAAUUGCAUGCAUAUAAUGACUAUGAGACUGCUGAGGAAGUUACCUAGACGGUCCAGUGCCAGCUCCCUGUUUGCACAGCCCCAAUGUGCCUCGGUGUGAUGCGGAAAUGUCAUCUAUAAAUUCAUGUGACUGGAUUGCUCUCAAAACAGCACAAUUUAAUCUCCAGUUAGUCCAGCAAACAGUUAUGUGAGGUUCUCCUCUAAGCUUAGGCGACACUGGAGAGAGUGCCUAUACUAUGUCUGAUGGGAGAAGACCAUCCAUGGUGACUAUUCCCCAGUGUGAUGGAUGUAAUAUAGAUCCCACGACUGAUCAUGGCGAUGACCUUCAGAUGUUGAGGGACAUGGUGGCCACGCAGAAGGCUGACCGUACAACUGCAGGCAAAGGAUGUCAAGCUCCAACAACUUGGAGACAAACUCCAUUCACACACUACUUUGGUGUUAAAACCAGAGUCUGUGCAUGAAAGUGAUGUGGUAUGCUAUUUCCAUUAGGCUACUGCGCUGGAUUCACCUAUGAGUAGUUUAAUACCUUGUAUGAGUUCAACAUUUCAAAUAAUCCAAGUACAGUAGCACACCAGACCUUCCUUUGUGUAGUCAGCUGUUAUUGACACUGAAGACAUUUAGACAGGUGUAUGGUUACAAAAGAUUCAUUCAGAUUCCAUAUCAGUUUACAGAAUGUGAGCUCAAUUUUAAUCACUCAACAUCAGUCUUGUGUGUAUUAAUUGUGUAUUAUGUAUUGAUUAUUUUGUUAUUGUGUAUUAAAUACCAUCCAUCAUCAUGCAUAUUGUCAUGACCUGUGUAUUUUCAUUUUUUUCGCUUAAAUGCUUUAACCCAUUUCAUGUCAUGGUGAAUUACCUGAUGACUUAAGCCACUUCCAAGAGGGUAUGUGUGGUCUGCAACAACAGUGAUGUCCACAGGAGGUUUGCACCAAAUAGCUCAGGUGUUCCUGUC